rnacentral:rRNA from 1 species
UUCUUCGAGAGUUUGAUCCUGGCUCAGGACGAACGCUGGCGGCGUGCCUAAUACAUGCAAGUCGAGCGAAUCGAUGGGAGCUUGCUCCUGAGAUUAGCGGCGGACGGGUGAGUAACACGUGGGCAACCUGCCUAUAAGACUGGGAUAACUUCGGGAAACCGGAGCUAAUACCGGAUACGUUCUUUUCUCGCAUGAGAGAAGAUGGAAAGACGGUUUACGCUGUCACUUAUAGAUGGGCCGCGGCGCAUUAGCUAGUUGGUGAGGUAAUGGCUCACCAAGGCGACGAUGCGUAGCCGACCUGAGAGGGUGAUCGGCCACACUGGGACUGAGACACGGCCCAGACUCCUACGGGAGGCAGCAGUAGGAAUCUUCCGCAAUGGACGAAAGUCUGACGGAGCAACGCCGCGUGAACGAAGAAGGCCUUCGGGUCGUAAAGUUCUGUUGUUAGGGAAGAACAAGUACCAGAGUAACUGCUGGUACCUUGACGGUACCUAACCAGAAAGCCACGGCUAACUACGUGCCAGCAGCCGCGGUAAUACGUAGGUGGCAAGCGUUGUCCGGAAUUAUUGGGCGUAAAGCGCGCGCAGGUGGUUCCUUAAGUCUGAUGUGAAAGCCCACGGCUCAACCGUGGAGGGUCAUUGGAAACUGGGGAACUUGAGUGCAGAAGAGGAAAGUGGAAUUCCAAGUGUAGCGGUGAAAUGCGUAGAGAUUUGGAGGAACACCAGUGGCGAAGGCGACUUUCUGGUCUGUAACUGACACUGAGGCGCGAAAGCGUGGGGAGCAAACAGGAUUAGAUACCCUGGUAGUCCACGCCGUAAACGAUGAGUGCUAAGUGUUAGAGGGUUUCCGCCCUUUAGUGCUGCAGCUAACGCAUUAAGCACUCCGCCUGGGGAGUACGGCCGCAAGGCUGAAACUCAAAGGAAUUGACGGGGCCCGCACAAGCGGUGGAGCAUGUGGUUUAAUUCGAAGCAACGCGAAGAACCUUACCAGGUCUUGACAUCCUCUGACAACCCUAGAGAUAGGGCUUUCCCUUCGGGGGACAGAGUGACAGGUGGUGCAUGGUUGUCGUCAGCUCGUGUCGUGAGAUGUUGGGUUAAGUCCCGCAACGAGCGCAACCCUUGAUCUUAGUUGCCAGCAUUCAGUUGGGCACUCUAAGGUGACUGCCGGUGACAAACCGGAGGAAGGUGGGGAUGACGUCAAAUCAUCAUGCCCCUUAUGACCUGGGCUACACGUGCUACAAUGGAUGGUACAAAGGGCUGCAAACCUGCGAAGGUAAGCGAAUCCCAUAAAGCCAUUCUCAGUUCGGAUUGCAGGCUGCAACUCGCCUGCAUGAAGCCGGAAUCGCUAGUAAUCGCGGAUCAGCAUGCCGCGGUGAAUACGUUCCUGGCCUUGUACACACCGCCCGUCACACCACGAGUUUGUAACACCCGAAGUCGGUGAGGUAACCUUCAUGGAGCCAGCCGCCUAAGGUGGGACAGAUGAUUGGGGUGAAGUCGUAACAAGGUAGCCGUAUCGGAAGGUGCGGCUGGAUCACCUCCUUU